rnacentral:tRNA from 1 species
GGAGACAUAGCUUAAUUGGUAAAGCACCGGUCUCAUAAGCCGUCUAUUGGAUGUUCGAGUCAUCCUGUCUCUA